rnacentral:misc_RNA from 1 species
AACCAUUCUCACCUGCGGCUAGACCUGCGGAGGGAUCAUUACUGAGUCACGUGCUCAAACAACCCUUCUGUGGACCUGAAAUAAAACCGUUGCCUCGGCGGGCGGUCCCCCCCAAACCAACCCCACGUGGUGGGUUAGGGGAGACCAGACAGUCCGGUACGCUUAAGGCGUCCGGCGCCAGCCGCUGGCCCCAAACAAUUAAACUCUAGUAAUCUUCACCUUCUGAAUUUCAAUAUUUAA